rnacentral:tRNA from 1 species
CACCAAUGGAAAGGGAACCACUGCGAACCGGCUGAACACCGGCGAGUGUCGUCCCAUCUUUGGUUCGACUCCUGUGUUGGUGGCCA